AUUGAACGCUGGCGGCAUGCUUUACACAUGCAAGUCGAACGGCAGCACGGGCUUCGGCCUGGUGGCGAGUGGCGAACGGGUGAGUAAUGCAUCGGAACGUACCGUGUAAUGGGGGAUAACGUAGCGAAAGUUACGCUAAUACCGCAUACGCCCUGAGGGGGAAAGCGGGGGAUCGUAAGACCUCGCGUUAUACGAGCGGCCGAUGUCGGAUUAGCUAGUUGGUGGGGUAAAGGCCUACCAAGGCGACGAUCCGUAGCGGGUCUGAGAGGAUGAUCCGCCACACUGGGACUGAGACACGGCCCAGACUCCUACGGGAGGCAGCAGUGGGGAAUUUUGGACAAUGGGCGCAAGCCUGAUCCAGCCAUGCCGCGUGAGUGAAGAAGGCCUGG
rnacentral:rRNA from 1 species